UACGUAGGGGGCGAGCGUUGUCCGGAAUGACUGGGCGUAAAGGGUGCGUAGGCGGCCCGAGAGGUCCUGGGUGAAAGGCCCCGGCUCAACCGGGGAGGGCCCCAGGAAACCGGCGGGCUAGAGGGCUGGAGAGGGCCGCGGAAUUCCCGGUGUAGCGGUGAAAUUCGUAGAUAUUGGGAAGAACACCGGUGGCGAAGGCGGCGACCUGGUCCGGGACUGACGCUGAGGCGCGAAAGCGUGGGGAGCAAACAGG
rnacentral:rRNA from 1 species